ACUGCUUUUCUUUGAUGUCCCCAUAUUGAGGAGCCCGAUAGCCAACUCUCUGUUUUAAUGCUAUCGGGUUUUUUGUU
rfam:Providencia rettgeri strain MR4 P_rettgeri_contig_278, whole genome shotgun sequence.